GACAUAGGUCGCAAACGUUAUCCGGAAUUAUUGGGCGUAAAGGAUGCGUAGAUGGUUCAGUAAGUUACUGGUGGGAAAUCGAGGCUCAACCUCGUGGAAGUCAGUAAUACUGCUGAACUUGAGUGCAGGAGAGGUUAACGGAACUUUAUGUGGAGCGGUAAAAUGCGUAGAUAUAUGAAAGAACAUCAAUAUGGCGAAGGCAGUUAACUAUUCUGUUACUGACAU
rnacentral:rRNA from 1 species